AUGGCUUCCUUCAAGCUGGUACACUUGUGCUUCACAGCCGUGCUGCUCUGUGUUGCCUUCUCCUGUUGCAGAGGGCAGGGAGGAGGUGGCGGCGGUGCCGGAGCAGGAGCAGGAGCAGGAGGCGGAGGGGGGUCGGGCAUCGGCGCAGUAGUACCAGGGACGCAGGACUCGGUCCAGAUCGUGGCGCAAGCCGCUCUCUGCUUUGACAACAGACCAGUGCUCACCGGGUGCCUGCAGGCGAUGGGCAUCAACGCCAGCAGCGGCACCGGCGCGAGCAUGCCGCCGCCUGCUCCGGGCGGCGCGGCGACGGCGAUCAUGUGCAGCCCGCCGUGCUUCGGGCACGUGACCAUGAUGAUGAGCUGCGUCAACGCCAUCUUCGGCAACUUCGUCAGCUACAACCCCGGCCUCAUGCAGGGCGUCCAGGCCGUCUUCCAGAUGUCCUGCGGCAACGUCAACGGCCCAGGAGGAGCCGGCGGUGCUCCCGGAGGUGGAAUGGGAGGCGGGCCGGCUGGUAACGCUGGCGGUGGUGCUGCCGGCGGUGGAAUGGGAGGCGGGCCGGCUGGUAACGCUGGCGGUGCCAGUGGGGGAGUUGGAGGCGGGGCUGCCGGUGGCAUUCCUAACAGCAUGGGCGGUGCCGCCGGCGGAGGCGGUGGCGCGUCCGGUGCCAGCGGUGGAGGUGCCAGUGGCACUACGAACACCAUCGGCGGGGCCGCGGGCGGAGGUGCCGGCGGAACUAGCGGCGGGGCUGGAGGCGGCAACGACACUACCAACGGCGGCGCUGCCACCGGUGCCAUCGGCAGCGGCAACAUCACAAGCGUUUCACCCAAUGCAGGCUCGCACGUGGCGGUGAGCAACCAAAGCCAGCCGACCAGCGGCGCGGACGGGCCCACUCUCAGCCUCAAGGGCGGCUGCUCCUCCGCCGUGCUGGCGAUCUGGGCCGGCGCAUGGCUGGUGCUCUUCUAG
rnacentral:rRNA from 1 species